AUUAUGGUCUGCUAUUAAUUAUGAAGAGGAUCAAAAUCUUAGUCAAAUCUGACUGCAUCCCUAAGAGAUGACAGCGAGUUCAAGGGAGCUUUGGAUGAGCAAUGAGCUUCAACCAGCAUGCUUUUUGCUUGGCAAGUUAAACUAAUCCAGUUCAAGACUAGAGGCAUGUUGGCUUAGAAUUAUGGAUGAAAGCAGUACACAUGUGUCCUCAAAAUAUUUGAUCCUGUAAAAAUGGUGAUACGUAUCAGAGACAGUGGAGAGUGGACUGCAGAAUGUGAAACUAUGAGUAUGUAUCUGCUUAGCUUCAGAAAACUUCAUGAGUUUUAGAGAUACACUAAGCAAGGCAUUGAGUUUGGCUUUAAAGGUACAAUGAUGAAGAAGCCUCAACUCACAAUAUGAUGGGAGAACAAGAGGCACAAAUAAAUAGCCAUUGUCC
rnacentral:lncRNA from 10 species